GACGAACGCUGGCGGCGUGCCUAAUACAUGCAAGUAGGACGCAGUUGCGAACGGGUGAGUAAAGCGUAGGUAACUGCCUCUUAGAGGGGGAUAACAAUUGGAAACGAUAGCUAAUACCGCAUACUAGUAGAUGGACCUUCGUUGUAUUAGCUAGUCGGUAGGGUAAUGGCCUACCUAGGCGACGAUACAUAGCCGAACUGGGAUGGUGAUCGGCCACACUGGGACUGAGACACGGCCCAGACCUCUUAGGGAGGCAGCAGUAGGGAAUCUUCGGCAAUGGGGGGAACCCUGACCGAGCAACGCCGCGUGAGUGAAGAAGGUGUUCGGAUCGUAAAGCUCUGUUGUUAAGGAAGCGGUACUUAACCAGAAAGGGACGGCUAACUCCGUGCCAGCAGCCGCGGUAAUAC
rnacentral:rRNA from 1 species